CAAGCCUCUACACCAAUUUGUCUCGUAGAUACAAUCUCUCUCUCUCUCUUCACUUUCUCUCUCUAAAGAUGGAGUCUUUUAGCAUAUCUAAGAAGCUGGUUGUUCAUCUCUCUAUCUAAUUUCAACAUGAAAUGUAUCUAGCAGGUUUACUAGUUAUUACGGUGGUGAUGAUGGCAUCACAUGAGGCUUGCCAUAUAUCUGAUAUCGAGGAUUGUCCUCUUGACGACAACACACCACCAUCCAAAUUAUGUUGUGGUGAAUUACGUCUAGCAUGCUUUUGUUACUAUUACGAUAUGUAUCAUCAAUAUGUAACGAGAAUCUAUGAUGCUUGUAAGAAAGAUAUCGGGGGUAUAGGUUGUGAAUAGUUGUGUAACAGUUUCCAUAUGUAUUAACUAAAAAAUAACAUAUACAUUAACUAAUUUCCUUUA